UUGCCCAGUAACGGCGAGUGAAGCGGCAACAGCUCAAAUUUGAAAUCUGGCCCCCUCGGGGCCCGAGUUGUAAUUUGCAGAGGGAGCUUUUGGCGUCGGUCGUGGUCUAAGUUCCUUGGAACAGGACGUCACAGAGGGUGAGAAUCCCGUACGUGGCCGCCGGCCUUCGCCUUGUAAAGCCCCUUCGACGAGUCGAGUUGUUUGGGAAUGCAGCUCUAAAUGGGAGGUAAAUUCCUUCUAAAGCUAAAUACCCGCCAGAGACCGAUAGCGCACAAGUAGAGUGAUCGAAAGAUGAAAAGCACUUUGGAAAGAGAGUGAAAAAGCACGUGAAAUUGUUGAAAGGGAAGCGCUUGCGGCUAGACGUGCCCGCGGUUGAUCAUCCAGGCUCCGGCCUGGUGCACUCCUCCGCGGGCAGGCCAGCAUCAGUUCGGGCGGUCGGAUAAAGGCCUCUGUCACGUACCACCCCUCGGGGUGGCCUUAUAGGGGAGGCGCAACACGGCCAGCCCGGACUGAGGUUCCGCGCAUCUGCUAGGAUGCUGGCGUAAUAGCAGCAAGCGGCCCGUCUUGAAACACGGACCAAGGAGUCUAACAUCUAUGCGAGUGUUUGGGUGUCAAGCCCGAGCGCGCAAUGAAAGUGAACGGAGGUGGGAACUCUCACGGGUGCACCAUCGACCGAUCCUGAUGUCUUCGGAUGGAUUUGAGUAAGAGCAUAGCUGUUGGGACCCGAAAGAUGGUGAACUAUGCCUGAAUAGGGUGAAGCCAGAGGAAACUCUGGUGGAGGCUCGCAGCGGUUCUGACGUGCAAAUCGAUCGUCAAAUUUGGGCAUAGGGGGCGAAAGACUAAUCGAACCAUCUAGUAGCUGGAUGCUGCGAGU
rnacentral:rRNA from 1 species